CAGACCCGUGUUCUGUCCACUAAGCCAUGCUGCUUCCAUUGGAUUCCUACAGCAACGUCUACCUAUCCAAGACCUUCUUCGAGCAGAUCCCUCCUUUCAGAAGUUCACCUACUCCCCAGUUGGUUCCCAGCGGCUGGACAGACGGGCUCCCUGGGGAUGCACCCAGCGGGAUCAAGGAACGGGGAACCGGGCUUUAUGUGGGGUGUCAAUCUCCAGCCUCAGCCCAGUUUAGCCUUGUGCGAGUGUGGAAGAGAGCGAGGGCUGCGUGCGGGACCCAGAAGUUUCAUGCGACUCCCAAACGCUAAGCAAAAUGGAGCCCAGGGUUUGUUACCUGAGGAAAUCUCGGGUUCUUAACAGAGGGGAUAGAGGGGGAAAAAAACCCAGCAGUGAAAUAUUCAUAACUCGUUUAAAAUAGCCAAGCCUUCCAGGUAGCCCACUCCAAUAGAUAUGUGGAUUCUGUUGACAGAAUUGAAGAUUUGAACCAUUGAUCACCCAAAUGUACUAAAUCCCUUAAAGUCCGACUGGCAGAAUUGGAAAGACUUCGUCAGUAGACCCCGGCCCAUUUGACAGUGGAAAAGUUAAGAAAAUAUCAAUAUUUAAUUUUGGUGUU